AUAAUACUCCCUCCGAUCCAUAUUAAUUGUCGAAAUAUUGCAUGUAUCUAGACGCUUUUUAGCCAUGAAGCCAUGGAUACAUCCAUAUUUGGGCAAAUUUUCGACAAUUAAUAUGGAUCGGAGGGAGUAAUAG
rfam:Brachypodium distachyon strain Bd21 chromosome 4, whole genome shotgun sequence.